rnacentral:rRNA from 1 species
GAUGAACGCUGACAGAAUGCUUAACACAUGCAAGUCAACUUGAACUUCGGUUUGGGUGGCGGACGGGUGAGUAACGCGUAAAGAACUUGCCUCACAGCUAGGGACAACAUUUGGAAACGAAUGCUAAUACCUGAUAUUAUGAUUAUAUGGCAUCGUAUAAUUAUGAAAGCUAUAUGCGCUGUGAGAGAGCUUUGCGUCCCAUUAGCUAGUUGGAGAGGUAACAGCUCACCAAGGCGAUGAUGGGUAGCCGGCCUGAGAGGGUGAUCGGCCACAAGGGGACUGAGACACGGCCCUUACUCCUACGGGGGGCAGCAGUGGGGAAUAUUGGACAAUGGACCGAGAGUCUGAUCCAGCAAUUCUGUGUGCACGAUGAAGUUUUUCGGAAUGUAAAGUGCUUUCAGUUGGGAAGAAAAAAAUGACGGUACCAACAGAAGAAGUGACGGCUAAAUACGUG